AGUUAAUAAGUCUAGGGGACAUUAUACCUUGAAAGUAUAAAAGGAAAGUUUAAACCUUUCAUUAACUU
rnacentral:tRNA from 1 species